rnacentral:rRNA from 1 species
CACGUAGGGUGCGAGCGUUGUCCGGAAUUAUUGGGCGUAAAGAGCUCGUAGGCGGUGUGUCGCGUCGGCCGUGCAAACCUGCAGCUUAACUGUGGGCUUGCGGUCGAUACGGGCAUCACUGGAGUUCGGCAGGGGAGACUGGGAUUCCUGGUGUAGCGGUGAAAUGCGCAGAUAUCAGGAGGAACACCGGUGGCGAAGGCGGGUCUCUGGGCCGAUACUGACGCUGAGGAGCGAAAGCGUGGGGAGCGAACAGG